UGUCCACAAUUUUAAAUAUGUUCAUGAGUUUAAAAAAUGUUAAUUAUUUUCAUUAAAUUGAGAGUGAUAGUGUAUCUCGGUGAUGCAGCAAUAUAUGAUCAGGUCGUUGAAGAUUAUGAUUUUUUUUCUCCCGUUGCAACGCAUGGGCCCUUUUGCUAGUACCAAAUACAUAUACCUAAUCUUUACCUAAUAUUAAUGGGAGGAAAGUUUCAUAGUUCUUCAUACAAUCAUACGUCAUUCUUUUAUAUCCAUUAAUUUUAUGUUAAUUAUAAAGAUUGAUGGCUAAGAUUUAAUUGAGUGGUCCUGCAAUCUUUUUUACGCCUCCUAUCCCGAUAAAAGAAAAACAGACGAGGAGAGCACGGACAAGUCUCCUUCUCCUGUACAGCCACUAUGAAUCUCGCGUCCACCAAUUUAAAUAUUAUAUAUACUUUCUCUUAAAAAGAUUAAAUAUUAUGCAAGCAAAAAGUUCAAAAAAAUUAUUAUACAAGCAAAUGGAAACAUCACGCACACGAUCCCUUUGUCCUUCGCACGCACGAAGACGCCACGUCGUCGUUGCUACUCCUCACCUCACCCCCUAGACCGGAAUCAAAGUCGUUGCCGAGGGAUGGAGGCCACAGGGAACGGUGGUGGAGAUCCGCCGUGACCUAGGCGGGCGAGCCACCAGGAGGGGAUCCAUGCCGGGUGGCCGGGGACGCGCCUCUCCCGUGAUCCCCUUUCUUCUCCAUGACGGCACAGUAGAUUACCAGCGACAGCAAGGCACGGCGAUGGCCGGUGGUGGAGAAGACAUUCAGCCUCUUCAGCUAUGCUGUCGACCACCGAGUAUUGACUACAAAUACUACUCACGGAAUAUCUUCAGGUGAAUUUGCUGGGCUUGAGCGAGGGGAAUGGAAUGGGAGACGACGACACAAGUGUUGAAGGCUAGGGAUUUGGGAGCCAAGGAUGUGACGACGUGGAAUGAGAUGGGGGACGACAGUGCAAGCGAGAUGUAGGAGGGUAAAAUUGGAAACCAACAAAAUUUCAUAACAUGACAAGAUUUGUAUGUGGAAGUCUAAAACA